rnacentral:rRNA from 1 species
GAUGAACGCUGGCGGCGUGCCUAACACAUGCAAGUCGAGCGGGAUUGUGGAGUAGCUUGCUACGAAGCAAUCUAGCGGCGGACGGGUGAGUAACGCGUGGGCAACCUGCCCUAUACAGGGGGAUAACACACCGAAAGGUGUGCUAAUACCCCAUAACACCGAUGCUUCGCAUGGAGCGCCGGUCAAAGAUUUAUCGGUAUAGGAUGGGCCCGCGUCUGAUUAGCUAGUUGGUGAGGUAAAGGCUCACCAAGGCGACGAUCAGUAGCCGACCUGAGAGGGUGAUCGGCCACACUGGAACUGAGACACGGUCCAGACUCCUACGGGAGGCAGCAGUGGGGAAUAUUGCACAAUGGGGGAAACCCUGAUGCAGCAACGCCGCGUGAGCGAUGAAGGCC